rnacentral:rRNA from 1 species
AGUGAACGCUGGCGGCGUGCCUAAUACAUGCAAGUCGAACGGAGUGGCGCACGGGUGAGUAAUAUCUAGCUAAUCUGCCCCUUGCUGGAGGACAACAGUUAGAAAUGACUGCUAAUACUCCAUAGCAAGGGAUGAGUGGAUAACGUAUCAGCUAGUCGGUGGGGUAACGACCUACCGAGGCGAUGACGCGUAACUGUGCUGAGAGGAUGAUCAGUCGAAUUGGAACGGAGACACGGUCCAAACUUCUACGGGAGGCAGCAGGAGGGAAUAUUGCGCAAUGGGGGAAAACCUGACGCAGCAACGCGGCGUGGAGGAGGACACUUUUCGGAGCGGAAACUCCUUUUGUUAGGGAAGCGUUACCUAACGAAUAAGCACCGGCUAACUCCGUGCCAGCAGCCGCGGUAAUUC